rnacentral:rRNA from 1 species
CUUGGUCAUUUAGAGGAAGUAAAAGUCGUAACAAGGUUUCCGUAGGUGAACCUGCGGAAGGAUCAUUAAAAGAUUAUUAUUAUAAACCCCCCUGUGUAUUAAUUACCUGUUACUUCUAGUAUGAGGGAGAUAUAUAUGUAUAUAUAUCAAGUAUGAGAGAGAUAUAUAUAUAUACCCCCCAACCCAGAAUAUCUUAAACCAUUAUUCUCAAUGAUAUCUGUCUGAUUUUGUAAAAAAUAUAAAAGUUAAAACUUUCAACAACGGAUCUCUUGGUUCUCGCAUCGAUGAAGAACGCAGCGAAAUGCGAUAAGUAGUGUGAAUUGCAGAAUUCAGUGAAUCAUCGAAUCUUUGAACGCACAUUGCGCCUUCUAGUAUUCUGGGAGGCAUGCCUGUUUGAGCGUCAUUAAAACAUAGUCAAGUAAUUUUACUUGGAUGUGAAGGAAGAAUACCUUUUUAAAUAAGGAGUUCUCCUUUGAAAUUGAUUAGCAGAUGGUAUAAAAUCCUGACGUUGCAAGAUUUUUAUCUUUCGAAGGUGAUUUUAUUAAAAAUAUUAUCUUGCUUCAAAUCCAUUUAUUGGCAUAUAUAUAGUUAUGUUUGUUUUCAAAUAUACUAGAUAAUUGUUGACAGUAAAUUUUUUAUAAGUUGACCUCAAAUCAGGUAGGGAUACCCGGCUGAACUUAAGCAUAUCAAUAAGCGGAGGA